rnacentral:rRNA from 1 species
GACGAACGCUGGCGGCGUGCCUAAUACAUGCAAGUAGAACGCUGAAGAGAGGAGCUUGCUCUUCUUGGAUGAGUUGCGAACGGGUGAGUAACGCGUAGGUAACCUGCCUGGUAGCGGGGGAUAACUAUUGGAAACGAUAGCUAAUACCGCAUAAAAUUGAUUAUUGCAUGAUAAUUAAUUGAAAGAUGCAAUUGCAUCACUACCAGAUGGACCUGCGUUGUAUUAGCUAGUUGGUGAGGUAACGGCUCACCAAGGCGACGAUACAUAGCCGACCUGAGAGGGUGAUCGGCCACACUGGGACUGAGACACGGCCCAGACUCCUACGGGAGGCAGCAGUAGGGAAUCUUCGGCAAUGGGGGGAACCCUGACCGAGCAACGCCGCGUGAGUGAAGAAGGUUUUCGGAUCGUAAAGCUCUGUUGUAAGAGAAGAACGGGUGUGAGAGUGGAAAGUUCACACUGUGACGGUAUCUUACCAGAAAGGGACGGCUAACUACGUGCCAGCAGCCGCGGUAAUACGUAGGUCCCGAGCGUUGUCCGGAUUUAUUGGGCGUAAAGCGAGCGCAGGCGGUUAGAUAAGUCUGAAGUUAAAGGCUGUGGCUUAACCAUAGUAUGCUUUGGAAACUGUUUAACUUGAGUGCAGAAGGGGAGAGUGGAAUUCCAUGUGUAGCGGUGAAAUGCGUAGAUAUAUGGAGGAACACCGGUGGCGAAAGCGGCUCUCUGGUCUGUAACUGACGCUGAGGCUCGAAAGCGUGGGGAGCAAACAGGAUUAGAUACCCUGGUAGUCCACGCCGUAAACGAUGAGUGCUAGGUGUUAGGCCCUUUCCGGGGCUUAGUGCCGCAGCUAACGCAUUAAGCACUCCGCCUGGGGAGUACGACCGCAAGGUUGAAACUCAAAGGAAUUGACGGGGGCCCGCACAAGCGGUGGAGCAUGUGGUUUAAUUCGAAGCAACGCGAAGAACCUUACCAGGUCUUGACAUCCCUCUGACCGCUCUAGAGAUAGAGUUUUCCUUCGGGACAGAGGUGACAGGUGGCGCAUGGUUGUCGUCAGCUCGUGUCGUGAGAUGUUGGGUUAAGUCCCACAACGAGCGCAACCCCUAUUGUUAGUUGCCAUCAUUCAGUUGGGCACUCUAGCGAGACUGCCGGUAAUAAACCGGAGGAAGGUGGGGAUGACGUCAAAUCAUCAUGCCCCUUAUGACCUGGGCUACACACGUGCUACAAUGGCUGGUACAACGAGUCGCAAGCCGGUGACGGCAAGCUAAUCUCUGAAAGCCAGUCUCAGUUCGGAUUGUAGGCUGCAACUCGCCUACAUGAAGUCGGAAUCGCUAGUAAUCGCGGAUCAGCACGCCGCGGUGAAUACGUUCCCGGGCCU